GGCCGCACAGGAGCCCAUGGAGGGGGCGGGAGGCUCAGGCAUGGCGGGCUGCAGGUCCCGAGCCCUGCCCCGCGGGAAAGCAGCUAAGGCCCUGUGAGAAAUCGAGCGCAGCGCCGGUGGGCCGGCACUGCUGGGGGACCCAGUACACCCUCCGCAGCCGCUGGCCCAGGUGCUAACCCCCUCAUUUCCCGGGCGGCAGGGCCGGCCGGCUGCUCCCAGUGCGGGGCCCGCCAAGCCCACGCCCACCCGGAACUCCAGCUGGCCUGUAAGCGCCGGGCGCAGCCCCGGUUCCCGCUGGCGCCUCUCCCUCAACACCUCCCUGCAAGCUGAGGGAGCCGGCUCUGGCCUUGGCCAGCCCAGGAAGGGACUCCCACAGUACAGCAGUGGGCUGAAGGGCUCCUCAAGUGCCCCCAAAGUGGAAGCCCAGGCAGAGAAGGCGCCAAGAGCCAGCGAGGGCUGUGAGGACUGCCAGCACGCUGUCACCUCUCAGCAUUUGCCCAAGGAGAGUGGGCUAUGCGGAAGGAAAGAGAGAACUAGAAAGGAUUAUCUUGAUUAUUUAUAGAAAAGGUACAAGUGCUCCAUGGAGAAAAUGGUGAUUCAGCGCCUGAGCCAUGAAAUAUACAAGAUGAGCCUGGAGAAUCCUGCAGUUCUAGAAAGGUGCUCCUUGACAUCCUAUGAAAGAAUGUCCUUGAAGAAAGAUGCUAAAAUGUUCAACGAUUUUUUUAAAGCAGAAAGUCUGAAGUAGCUGCGGUUCAGUGGGUACAUGUGCAGGUUUGUUACAUGGAUGAAUUGCAUCACUGAGGUUUGGAGUACAAAUGUUUGUGUCACCCAGUAGUGAGCAUAGUAACCAACAGGUAAUUUUUCAACCCUUGUCCUCU